UCUCCUCCUUCUUCUUCUUUUUCAGUGCGUUAUCACACAGUCGGACAAAUCUGCGGGGGCGAUAAAAGUAGGCCACGCGUCAGAAUCUAAAGCUGCGAAGAUGAUAAAAAAAUAAUAAAAAAUAACGGCGGAACAGGAAGUGAGAACGUGGCGACAGCACUGGUUUGUUACUUGAUUUCUGGGUUACUGCACAGCUUGGUGGGCGUGCAGGUGAGCUCGUCGCCACUGACGAUGAUCAUCUUCAGCGUGGAGAUGUUGGUGAGGCACAUGGGCAGGUAGGUCAGUUGGUUCUUAUGGACGAACAGCGUCACGAGCUGCUCCAACCUGUUUGGCCAAAAAAAAAAAA